rnacentral:snRNA from 1 species
GUGCUCACUUUGGCAGCACAUAUAUUAAAAUUGGAAUGAAACAGAGAAGAUUAGCAUGCCCCCCUGCUCAAGGAUGACACGCAAAUUUGUGAAGCAUUUCAUAUUUUU